GUGGCGCGGGGCGUGCCUGAGGUGGCGCGCGAGCUGGUGGCGGAGGCGCAGCAGUCGGGCGUGAAGGGCGCGGCGCGCGCGGCGCUCGCCAGGGCGGAGCCCGUGGCGAGGGACGUGUACGGCCGCGUGGAGCCCGUGGCGAGGGACCUGUACGUGCGGUACGAGCCCGCGGCGGAGCACCUGGCCGUCUCCGCCUGGCGCUCUCUCAACGGCCUGCCGGUGUUCCCGCACGUCGCGCAGAUCGUCGUGCCCACCGCCGCGCACUGGGCCGAGAAGUACAACAGGGCGGUCGUCGCCGCGGCCGAGCGGGGCUACGCCGGAGCCAAGU
rnacentral:lncRNA from 1 species